rnacentral:rRNA from 1 species
AUUGAACGCUGGCGGCAGGCCUAACACAUGCAAGUCGAGCGAGCGGCGGACGGGUGAGUAAUGUAUGGGGAUCUGCCUGAUGGAGGGGGAUAACUACUGGAAACGGUAGCUAAUACCGCAUACCAUCAGAUGUGCCCAGCUGGGAUUAGCGAGUAGGUGGGGUCAUGGCUCACCAAGGCGACGAUCCCUAGCUGGUCUGAGAGGAUGACCAGCCACACUGGAACGGAGACACGGUCCAGACUCCUACGGGAGGCAGCAGUGGGGAAUAUUGCACAAUGGGCGCAAGCCUGAUGCAGCCAUGCCGCGUGUGUGAAGAAGGCCUUCGGGUUGUAAAGCACUUUCAGCGAGGAGGCGUUACUCGCAGAAGAAGCACCGGCUAACUCCGUGCCAGCCGCCGCGGUAAUAC